ensembl:lncRNA
AGGUUUUUGUCAUAUACCAAACGUCCAGGACUCCACAUUACCCAUCUUUAUCACACGGAGGGCAGAUGUGGCCAUGGCGAGGAGCCGCUCCGGGCCGCUCCGGGACAGGUGACCACUGCUCUGCCUUGCCGUGGAGAUGCAGGACAGUAAAAGCCAAUCUGUGACCUCCCACUGUUUUAUCACGAGCAGCCAGUGAGGAGGGCGCUCCCACAGCCCUCAUCUGCACCACCUUCUGCCGGCCACUGAUGCUUUCCCCGGGGGCUCUCAAGAGCCGCACCGCCCGCCCCCACUGUGCAGCCAAAUCCAGCGUGAUUAUCUACAUAUUGUCCCAACUGGGACCCAACGCGCCUUGAUUCUGCUGAUGUGGGGCCCUGCUGGGCAGGGGGGCCCCGCGGCGCCCUGUGGCUGCCACACACAUGAGAGGUGCAUUAAAAUCGUAAGGUGACCACACACCUACGGUGAUCUCCCACUUUCAAUCCAACGGCAAUGCAUUGAGACCCUGCAGUUGAACCCUUAAUGGGAGAGAGAGGAACAAGAGGCAAUGAGUCACUAUGAACCUAGUCUGUCCUGAGGUCCCUGCAUGUCUCUUGUAGAGGACGCUUUGAAAGCUAUAUGGUCGAAUAGGUUAGUUGUUGUUUCCACUGGCUGGUCAGCAGCCAUUGCGAUGAACACACCCUUUGUUGCCAUGGCUAUGUUGGCCACCGCCCUUCUCCCCGUCUAUAUAUCUUCCUGUUUCUUUUCUCUUUGUGUUGCACAUGGUCUCCCUCUGGUCUGUCGAGGGGAGUUUCUCCGACUGCUGACCGGAUGCCUUCAGUGUGUACCCCCCAAACGCUAGCAGAUGUCUCCUCCUCCUCAGAAGCUCCAUCACAUCCCGUCAGGUCUCCCCUUCGCUCAGCCAGACUGCAGACCCUUAAUGCAUCAACAUUUAAUGAGCAGCCGUCCGCCCUGCGCGUGCGGCUUCUGUUGGAGCAGCAGCCCGACACGGGGAGGUCAGCCCGGAUCAGAUCCAGGCGGCUGACACCUGUACCGCACCGCUUCACGCUCAGCCGUCAACCACACAGUGGGAGGAGAAUCAGCACGCUGAAACAGGAGUUACAGAGGAAAGACACAGGCUGCUAUUGUUUUAUCUAGUCUCAUAAUAAUUCCCAAACAUUCUGCAACAUCGACUCGGAUUUCCGUCAGGCAAAAGCCAGAUCAUUGAUGUAAUUGGUCCAGGAUUUGUGUUCUACAUCAGUGUGAAAAAUAGGGAAAUAGCUGAGCGUGAUGGUUCCCCUUCUAUUGAGCUAGUUCCUGCCCACAAUAAAUAUUAAAAAGCCGUCUUGCA